rnacentral:rRNA from 1 species
AGGAUGAACGCUGGCGGCGUGCCUAACACAUGCAAGUCGAACGUCCUGUCUCGCAAGAGGCAGGGAGUGGCGGACGGGUGAGUACCACGUGGGUUAUCUACCGUGAGGUGAGGAAUACCGGCGAGAAAUCGCCGACAAGACCGCAUAGCCUCGGUGCAAGCCGAGGAAAGCUUUCUCGAGAGAGGGAGCGCCACACGAGGAGCCUGCGCCCGAUUAGCUAGCUGGUGGAGUAACGGUUCACCAGGGCGACGAUCGGUAGCUGGUCUGAGAGGACGAUCAGCCACACUGGGAUUGAGAACGGCCCAGACUCCUACGGGGGGCAGCAGUGAGGAAUUUUCGUCAAUGGGGGCAACCCUGAACGAGCAACGCCGCGUGCAGGAAGAAGGUUUUCGGAUCGUAAACUGCUUUUCUCGGGAAGAGAACGGACGGUACCCGAGGAAUCAGCCCGGCUAACUACGCGCCAGCAGCCGCGGUAA